UACAGAGGUCUCGAGCGUUGUUCGGAUUCAUUGGGCGUAAAGGGUGCGUAGGUGGUCGUGUAAGUCGGAUGUGAAAUCCCUGGGCUCAACCCCGGAACUGCAUUCGAUACUGCGCGGCUUGAGUACUGGAGAGGAGAUCGGAAUUUACGGUGUAGCAGUGAAAUGCGUAGAUAUCGUAAGGAAGACCAAUGGCGAAGGCGGAUCUCUGGACAGUUACUGACCACUGAGGCAGCGAAGGCCAGGGGAGCGAAACGGG
rnacentral:rRNA from 1 species